rnacentral:rRNA from 1 species
UACGAAGGGUGCAAGCGUUACUCGGAAUUACUGGGCGUAAAGCGUGCGUAGGUGGUGAGUUAAGUCUGUCGUGAAAGCCCCGGCUCAACCUGGGAAUGGCGAUGGAUACUGGCUCGCUAGAGUGCGGUAGAGGAGAGUGGAAUUCCCGGUGUAGCAGUGAAAUGCGUAGAGAUCGGGAGGAACAUCAGUUGCGAAGGCGGCUCUCUGGACCAGCACUGACACUGAGGCACGAAAGCUGGGGAGCGAACAGG